rnacentral:rRNA from 1 species
GACGAACGCUGGCGGCGUGCUUAACACAUGCCAGUCGAACGGAAAGGCCCUGCUUUUGUGGGGUACUCGAGUGGCGAACGGGUGAGUAACACGUGAGUAACCUGCCCUUGACUUUGGGAUAACUUCAGGAAACUGGGGCUAAUACCGGAUAGGAGCUCCUGCUGCAUGGUGGGGUUGGGAAGGUUCGGCGGGUGGGGAUGGAAUCGCGGCUUAUCAGCUUGUUGGUGGGGUAGUGGCUUACCAAGGCUUUGACGGGUAGCCGGCCUGAGAGGGUGACCGGCCACAUUGGGACUGAGAUACGGCCCAGACUCCUACGGGAGGCAGCAGUGGGGAAUAUUGCACAAUGGGCGGAAGCCUGAUGCAGCAACGCCGCGUGCGGGAUGACGGCCUUCGGGUUGUAAACCGCUUUCGCCUGUGACGAAGCGUGAGUGACGGUAAUGGGUAAAGAAGCACCGGCUAACUACGUG